rnacentral:rRNA from 1 species
GGCGAAGGCGGCCCCCUGGACAAGACUGACGCUCAGGUGCGAAAGCGUGGGGAGCAACAGGAUUAGAUACCCUGGUAGUCACGCUGUAAACGAUGUCGAUUUGGAGGUUGUUCCCUUGAGGAGUGGCUUCCGGAGCUAACGCGUUAAAUCGACCGCCUGGGGAGUACGGCCGCAAGGUUAAAACUCAAAUGAAUUGACGGGGGCCCGCACAAGCGGUGGAGCAUGUGGUUUAAUUCGAUGCAACGCGAAGAACCUUACCUACUCUUGACAUCCAGAGAAUUUAGCAGAGAUGCUUUAGUGCCUUCGGGAACUCUGAGACAGGUGCUGCAUGGCUGUCGUCAGCUCGUGUUGUGAAAUGUUGGGUUAAGUCCCGCAACGAGCGCAACCCUUAUCCUUUGUUGCCAGCACAUUAUGGUGGGAACUCAAAGGAGACUGCCGGUGAUAAACCGGAGGAAGGUGGGGAUGACGUCAAGUCAUCAUGGCCCUUACGAGUAGGGCUACACACGUGCUACAAUGGCGUAUACAAAGAGAAGCGACCUCGCGAGAGCAAGCGGAACUCAUAAAGUACGUCGUAGUCCGGAUUGGAGUCUGCAACUCGACUCCAUGAAGUCGGAAUCGCUAGUAAUCGUAGAUCAGAAUGCUACGGUGAAUACGUUCCCGGGCCUUGUACACACCGCCCGUCACACCAUGGGAGUGGGUUGCAAAAGAAGUAGGUAGCUUAACCUUCGGGAGGGCGCUUACCACUUUGUGAUUCAUGACUGGGGUGAAGUCGUAACAAGGUAACCA